UCCUUGCCAUCCAACUAGUUGCCAUGGAAAGAUUCUUUCAUUUCUUGUCAAGUCAACAUAUUUUCUUCUUCAACCAUGAUCCCAUUUUUUUCUCCUUUGUCCCCUUAACAUACCUUUUUUCUUCAUUCUUACCUUGUGUGUUGAUUCCUUGAACCUAGACAAGGUGAAUUACUCUUUUUUUUUUUCAUUUUUUUCUUUCCUCCAUAUUGCUGCCCCCACCUUUGCUCCUCCCUUUUUUCUCUCCAUUUUUCUUUUGCUUGAGUCAUCUACCACCACUUUUGCCCUAUUUUCCUCUUCUCCUCCCCCAUUCCUUUGCCACUCGAACCACCAUCAUCACACCACUGGACCUUUUCCUUGCCGCUGCUCCUCCCAUUGUUUUGUUCCAACAUGUAACAUCCCAAAAAUCGGGGGUUAGUAGAAUCGGGUUUGUGAAUUGAGAGAGAAUGUGUG
rnacentral:lncRNA from 1 species